UUUUUUUUUUAAUUGUAGCUUGAGCUGCGUUUCUAAAACGCAGCUUCAGAAAUGCUUGAAACGUACUGUACAAGGAUGGAGCUGCGUUUGAAACGCAGCUUCAAGUUUCAGUAUAAACAAAAAAAAACGAAACGUGGAAUCCCUCACCAUCGAAACAGAAAACUGGCUCUCCGAUCGCACAAAACCCUCACCGAUCGCCCACACUCCCCUCACCGAUCGCACAUUCCCCUCACCGCUCCAACACAGUCCCCUCACCGCUCGCACAUUCCCUCACCGAUCGCAGACACCUCUCACCGAUCUCAAACAACUCUCACCGAUCUCACACUCCCCUCACCGAUCUCAGCCCAUUCUCACCGAUCUCAAGCCUAUGUGAAUCCCCUCACUUCAACCCUAUGUGAAUCCCCUUCCUCCCUCCGCUCUUCCUCCUCUUCGUUUCCUUCUCAUCGAUCGCUGGCACACACCCAUUCUCGCAAGGCCGACUAGCAGUGAUGUUGUUCGCAAAGAUUUGAAAUUAUAGUCAGAGGCACAAAGUUCACAAAAAAUUCUGGUCACUGUGCAAGAAAAUCCAGACGCCUCUCAGUCGCCAUUCACCUUCAUUUUCUAUCAUUUUAUCUUGGUACCCGCCCAAUUCCCACGCCUUUUCUUCGUUGUGCUUACUAUCUUUCUUAAUUUGAUGCGUCCUUGCAUCUUUGUAACUCUUUUUGUUGUAAUUGUUCUUUUCUUUUAAUUAUAUAGAUUAAGAUUUGUAUCAUAGGGCUGUAUCUGAGACGUACGUAGCCGUAUGAUACAAAUUUUGAAAAGAUACUUGUAAAACAAACACAGUUGGAACAUACCCAACGUGUAGUAUUGUAUUGGAAAGGGAAGUGGUUUUAUAUUUUAAUGGGUGAAUAUCUCACUCUUCAUAUUAAUUGCAUGAAGAGAUGCC